AGUGAACGCUGGCGGUAGGCCUAACACAUGCAAGUCGAACGGCAGCACAGGAGAGCUUGCUCUCUGGGUGGCCAGUGGCGGACGGGUGAGGAAUACAUCGGAAUCUACCUUUUCGUGGGGGAUAACGUAGGGAAACUUACGCUAAUACCGCAUACGACCUUCGGGUGAAAGCAGGGGACCUUCGGGCCUUGCGCGGAUAGAUGAGCCGAUGUCGGAUUAGCUAGUUGGCGGGGUAAAGGCCCACCAAGGCGACGAUCCGUAGCUGGUCUGAGAGGAUGAUCAGCCACACUGGAACUGAGACACGGUCCAGACUCCUACGGGAGGCAGCAGUGGGGAAUAUUGGACAAUGGGCGCAAGCCUGAUCCAGCCAUACCGCGUGGGUGAAGAAGGCCUUCGGGUUGUAAAGCCCUUUUGUUGGGAAAGAAAAGCAGCCGGUUAAUACCCGGUUGUUCUGACGGUACCCAAAGAAUAAGCACCGGCUAACUUCGUG
rnacentral:rRNA from 1 species